UAGUCGAUUUCCUCGCAUGAGGGAUCGGGAAAGGCGGAGCAAUCUGCCACUUAUGGAUGGACCUACGGCGCAUUAGCUAGUUGGUGGGGUAACGGCUCACCAAGGCGACGAUGCGUAGCCGACCUGAGAGGGUGAUCGGCCACACUGGGACUGAGACACGGCCCAGACUCCUACGGGAGGCAGCAGUAGGGAAUCUUCCGCAAUGGACGCAAGUCUGACGGAGCAACGCCGCGUGAGUGAUGAAGGUUUUCGGAUCGUAAAGCUCUGUUGCCAGGGAAGAACGCUAUGGAGAGUAACUGUUCCAUAGGUGACGGUACCUGAGAAGAAAGCCCCGGCUAACUACGUGCCAGCAGCCGCGGUAAUACGUAGGGGGCAAGCGUUGUCCGGAAUUAUUGGGCGUAAAGCGCGCGCUGCGGUCAUGUAAGUCUGGUGUUUAAACCCGGGGCUCAACUCCGGGUCGCAUCGGAACUGUGUGACUUGAGUGCAGAAGAGAAAGUGGAAUUCCACGUGUGGCGGUGAAAUGCGUAGAGAUGUGGACGAACACCAGUGGCGAAGGCGACUUUCUGGCUGUACUGACGCUGAGGCGCGAAGGUGGGGAACAAACAAGAUAAGAUACCUUGUUGUCCACGCCGUAAACAUGAUGCUAUGGU
rnacentral:rRNA from 1 species